AUGAACGCUGGCGGCGUGCUUAACACAUGCAAGUCGAACGAUGAUCCCGGCUUGCUGGGGGAUUAGUGGCGAACGGGUGAGUAACACGUGAGUAACCUGCCCUUGACUCUGGGAUAAGCCUGGGAAACUGGGUCUAAUACCGGAUAUGACCGCUCUGACGCAUGUCAGGUGGUGGAAAGCUUUUGUGGUUUUGGAUGGACUCGCGGCCUAUCAGCUUGUUGGUGGGGUAAUGGCCUACCAAGGCGACGACGGGUAGCCGGCUUGAGAGGGUGACCGGCCACACUGGGACUGAGACACGGCCCAGACUCCUACGGGAGGCAGCAGUGGGGAAUAUUGCACAAUGGGCGCAAGCCUGAUGCAGCGACGCCGCGUGAGGGAUGACGGCCUUCGGGUUGUAAACCUCUUUCAGUAGGGAAGAAGCGAAAGUGACGGUACCUGCAGAAGAAGCGCCGGCUAACUACGU
rnacentral:rRNA from 1 species